ACGAAUAGGCCCUGUGCGCUUGGGGCCUACCCGCAGUAAGCCUGCACUUGCAGGUUAGCCUGCAACACACCAACUGAAGCACUGCCACCUCGAGUAGUGCACCGCCAUUGCGUUGGACGAUACACUGCUGCUCCCGGUGGAGGAGGCCCUCCUCCCUUAUUUUUUGUGUCGAGCAUCUUUUUCUCAUCUCUCUUCAUCAUAUUUUGACACUU
rnacentral:lncRNA from 1 species